UGGGGAAUUUUGGACAAUGGGCGAAAGCCUGAUCCAGCAAUGCCGCGUGUGUGAAGAAGGCCUUCGGGUUGUAAAGCACUUUUGUCCGGAAAGAAAUCCUUGGCUCUAAUACAGUCGGGGGAUGACGGUACCGGAAGAAUAAGCACCGGCUAACUACGUGCCAGCAGCCGCGGUAAUACGUAGGGUGCAAGCGUUAAUCGGAAUUACUGGGCGUAAAGCGUGCGCGGGCGGUUUGCUAAGACCGAUGUGAAAUCCCCGGGCUCAACCUGGGAACUGCAUUGGUGACUGGCAGGCUAGAGUAUGGCAGAGGGGGGUAGAAUUCCACGUGUAGCAGUGAAAUGCGUAGAGAUGUGGAGGAAUACCGAUGGCGAAGGCAGCCCCCUGGGCCAAUACUGACGCUCAUGCACGAAAGCGUGGGGAGCAAACAGGAUUAGAUACCCUGGUAGUCCACGCCCUAAACGAUGUCAACUAGUUGUUGGGGAUUCAUUUCCUUAGUAACGUACUAACGCGUGAAGUUGACCGCCUGGGGAGUACGGUCG
rnacentral:rRNA from 1 species